GACGAACGCUGGCGGCGUGCUUAACACAUGCAAGUCGAACGAUGAAGCCCAGCUUGCUGGGUGGAUUAGUGGCGAACGGGUGAGUAACACGUGGGCAACCUGCCCCAAACUCUGGGAUAACUCCUCGAAAGAGGUGCUAAUACCGGAUACGAACUAGACAGACAUCUGUACUAGUUGGAAAGUUUUUCGGUUUGGGAUGGGCCCGCGGCCUAUCAGCUUGUUGGUGAGGUAACGGCUCACCAAGGCUACGACGGGUAACCGGCCUGAGAGGGCGACCGGUCACACUGGGACUGAGACACGGCCCAGACUCCGACGGGAGGCAGCAGUGGGGAAUAUUGCGCAAUGGGCGAAAGCCUGACGCAGCGACGCCGCGUGAGGGAUGAAGGUCUUCGGAUCGUAAACCUCUUUCAGUAGGGACGAAGCGAAAGUGACGGUACCUAAAGAAGAAGCACCGGCUAACUACGUGCCAGCCGCCGCAGUAA
rnacentral:rRNA from 1 species